CCCCCUCUCUCUCUUCUCCGCGGCCCGCACAACAACAUCUGGCACAACAACAUCUGGCUCCCGACGUGUCCCGCACUCACGCCCAGCCUGAGGUCCAGAAAAGCCGCCCAGACACAGUGAGUACAGCUAUCAAGCCUUCAUAUGAGGAAUCAUCUGUUCAUAUGCUAUUAUUGAUGUCGUUGUUGCUGGAUAGGACAGAGAGAAAUGAAGAGAGGAGGGGAAGACAGAAAAAGGGAGAGAAAGAUAAACACCUGCAGACCUGCUUCACCACCUGUGAAGUGACUCCCCUGCAGGUAAGGAGCAGGGGGCUUGAACCAGGAUCCUUAUGCCGGUCCUUGCGCUUUGCACCACAUGCGCUUAACCCACUGUGCUACUGCCCAACUCCCAUAAACUUUUUUUUUUAAUAUUUUAUUUAUUUAUUUUUGAGAUAGAUUCAGAGAAAGAGAGAGAGAGAGCCAGAGAGUGAGAAAUACAAAAGCACUGCUCAGCUCUGGCUUAUUGUGGUGCAAGGGAUUGAACCUGGGACUUAGGAGCCUCAGGCAUGAGAGUCUAUUUGCAUAACCAUUAUGCUAUCUCCCCUGGCCAACUUCAUAAACUUUUGACUGUUAUGUCAAGAUUCUAUUU